rnacentral:rRNA from 1 species
UUAUAUGAGAGUUUGAUCCUGGCUCAGGAUGAACGCUGGCGGCGUGCCUAAUACAUGCAAGUCGAACGAGUUCUGAUUAUUGAAGGGUGCUUGCAUCUUGAUUUAAUUUUGAACGAGUGGCGGACGGGUGAGUAACACGUGGGUAACCUGCCCUUAAGUGGGGGAUAACAUUUGGAAACAGAUGCUAAUACCGCAUAAAUCCAAGAACCGCAUGGUUCUUGGCUGAAAGAUGGCGUAAGCUAUCGCUUUUGGAUGGACCCGCGGCGUAUUAGCUAGUUGGUGAGGUAACGGCUCACCAAGGCAAUGAUACGUAGCCGAACUGAGAGGUUGAUCGGCCACAUUGGGACUGAGACACGGCCCAAACUCCUACGGGAGGCAGCAGUAGGGAAUCUUCCACAAUGGACGCAAGUCUGAUGGAGCAACGCCGCGUGAGUGAAGAAGGCUUUCGGGUCGUAAAACUCUGUUGUUGGAGAAGAAUGGUCGGCAGAGUAACUGUUGUCGGCGUGACGGUAUCCAACCAGAAAGCCACGGCUAACUACGUGCCAGCAGCCGCGGUAAUACGUAGGUGGCAAGCGUUAUCCGGAUUUAUUGGGCGUAAAGCGAGCGCAGGCGGUUUUUUAAGUCUGAUGUGAAAGCCCUCGGCUUAACCGAGGAAGUGCAUCGGAAACUGGAAAACUUGAGUGCAGAAGAGGACAGUGGAACUCCAUGUGUAGCGGUGAAAUGCGUAGAUAUAUGGAAGAACACCAGUGGCGAAGGCGGCUGUCUGGUCUGUAACUGACGCUGAGGCUCGAAAGCAUGGGUAGCGAACAGGAUUAGAUACCCUGGUAGUCCAUGCCGUAAACGAUGAAUGCUAGGUGUUGGAGGGUUUCCGCCCUUCAGUGCCGCAGCUAACGCAUUAAGCAUUCCGCCUGGGGAGUACGACCGCAAGGUUGAAACUCAAAGGAAUUGACGGGGGCCCGCACAAGCGGUGGAGCAUGUGGUUUAAUUCGAAGCAACGCGAAGAACCUUACCAGGUCUUGACAUCUUUUGAUCACCUGAGAGAUCGGGUUUCCCCUUCGGGGCAAAAUGACAGGUGGUGCAUGGUUGUCGUCAGCUCGUGUCGUGAGAUGUUGGGUUAAGUCCCGCAACGAGCGCAACCCUUAUGACUAGUUGCCAGCAUUUAGUUGGGCACUCUAGUAAGACUGCCGGUGACAAACCGGAGGAAGGUGGGGAUGACGUCAAAUCAUCAUGCCCCUUAUGACCUGGGCUACACACGUGCUACAAUGGAUGGUACAACGAGUUGCGAGACCGCGAGGUCAAGCUAAUCUCUUAAAGCCAUUCUCAGUUCGGACUGUAGGCUGCAACUCGCCUACACGAAGUCGGAAUCGCUAGUAAUCGCGGAUCAGCACGCCGCGGUGAAUACGUUCCCGGGCCUUGUACACACCGCCCGUCACACCAUGAGAGUUUGUAACACCCGAAGCCGGUGGCGUAACCCUUUUAGGGAGCGAGCCGUCUAAGGUGGGACAAAUGAUUAGGGUGAAGUCGUAACAAGGUAGCCGUAGGAGAACCUGCGGCUGGAUCACCUCCUUU